AAUACGGAGGAUGCGAGCGUUAUCCGGAUUUAUUGGGUUUAAAGGGUGCGUAGGUGGUGAUUUAAGUCAGCGGUGAAAGUUUGUGGCUCAACCAUAAAAUUGCCGUUGAAACUGGGUUACUUGAGUGUGUUUGAGGUAGGCGGAAUGCGUGGUGUAGCGGUGAAAUGCAUAGAUAUCACGCAGAACUCCGAUUGCGAAGGCAGCUUACUAAACCAUAACUGACACUGAAGCACGAAAGCGUGGGGAUCAAACAGGAUUAGAUACCCUGGUAGUCCACGCAGUAAACGAUGAUUACUAGGAGUUUGCGAUACAAUGUAAGCUCUACAGCGAAAGCGUUAAGUAAUCCACCUGGGGAGUACGCCGGCAACGGUGAAACUCAAAGGAAUUGACGGGGGCCCGCACAAGCGGAGGAACAUGUGGUUUAAUUCGAUGAUACGCGAGGAACCUUACCCGGGUUUGAACGUAGUCUGACCGGAGUGGAAACACUCUUUCUAGCAAUAGCAGAUUACGAGGUGCUGCAUGGUUGUCGUCAGCUCGUGCCGUGAGGUGUCGGCUUAAGUGCCAUAACGAGCGCAACCCUUAUCACUAGUUACUAACAGGUGAAGCUGAGGACUCUGGUGAGACUGCCAGCGUAAGCUGUGAGGAAGGUGGGGAUGACGUCAAAUCAGCACGGCCCUUACAUCCGGGGCGACACACGUGUUACAAUGGCAUGGACAAAGGGCAGCUACCUGGUGACAGGAUGCUAAUCUCCAAACCAUGUCUCAGUUCGGAUCGGAGUCUGCAACUCGACUCCGUGAAGCUGGAUUCGCUAGUAAUCGCGCAUCAGCCAUGGCGCGGUGAAUACGUUCCCGGGCCUUGUACACACCGCCCGUCAAGCCAUGGGAGCCGGGGGUACCUGAAGUGCGUAACCGCGAGGAGCGCCCUAGGGUAAAACUGGU
rnacentral:rRNA from 1 species